rnacentral:antisense_RNA from 1 species
GAGAGUUUCUCAACUCGAAUAACUAAAGCCAACGUGAACUUUUGCGGAUCUCCAGGAUCCGC